UAAUAAACUGUAGAGUCGUGAUCUUCCAUUGAAAUUUCCUUACAAAAUAACUCGAGAGUCGAGUUACCCUGAAAGGAAAUUUCAAUAGAACAUAACGACUCUAAAGUUUAUAGAGUAAAAACACUAAGAGCUAGAAUCUGUUCCUCGACUCUAGAAAAUGACAAACAAAAGAAUAACAAAGAUUUUUGUUACUAAUGUUUUAUUUGGAUAAACUUGGUCGAUUUUGAAGGAUUUUUCCCUUCAUUUUAUAGUUAGGUUAUACAUUCAUGAUUGCACAAUUAACAUUAAUUGUUUCUUAUGUAAUAAACGGUAGAGUCGUUAUUUUCCAUUGAAAUUUCCUUACAAAAUAACUCAUGAGUCGAGUUAACCUGAAAGGAAAUUUCAAUAGAACAUAACGACUCUAUAGUUUAUCGCAUAAAAACACUUAAGAACUGGAAUUUGUUCCUCGACUCCAGAAAAUGACAAACAAAAGAAUACCAGAGAUUUUUGUUACUAGUUUUAUUUGGAUAAACUUGGUCCGUUUUGAAGGAUUUUGCCCUCACUUUAUAGUUGGGUUUUACAUUCAUGAUUGCACAAUUAACAUUAAUUGUUUCUUAUGUAAUAAACGGUAGAGUCGUUAUUUUCCAUUGAAAUUUCCUUACAAAAUAACUCGUGAGUCGAGUUAACCUGAAAGGAAAUUUCAAUAGAACAUAACGACUCUAUAGUUUAUCGCAUAAAAACACUUAAGAGCUGGAAUUUGUUCCUCGACUCUAGAAAAUGACAAACAAAAGAAUAACAAAGAUUUUUGUUACUAAUGUUUUAUUUGGAUAAACUUCGUCGAUUUUGAAGGAUUUUCCCCUUCACUUUAUAGUUAGGUUAUACAUUCAUGAUUGCACAAUUAACAUCAAUUUUUUUUAUGUAAUAAAUUGUAGAGUCAUUAUCUUCCAUUGAAAUUUCUUUACAAAAUAACUCGAAAGUGGAGUUAACCCGAAAGAAAAUUUCAAUAGAACAUAACGACUCUAUAGUUUAUCAGAUAAAAACAUUCUUAAGUCAAUUGUGCGAAGAUGAACAGGCAACCUUGCCAUAAAGUCAGUUCAACAAGCAAAACCAUUCAAAGCCAAUCAAGCUUAUCCAAACAAAACAUUAAAACAACCAAAAUCUUUAUUAUGUUUUCGUUUGCAAACUUAACAUAUAUUUUUGUGAAAUGAAUCAGCUUCUAGUGUCAAGUUCAUGCAGAUAAACAAAUCAUGCAUAAUCUAUAACCUAAAGAAAGUAAUCAACCAUGAUCUAACCAAAACACACACACAACUAUGAGAUGCUAGAUCUUAACCGGAAGUAACCGCUACUUCGACANNNNN
rnacentral:lncRNA from 1 species